UACGUAGGGACCAAGCGUUGUUCGGAUUUACUGGGCGUAAAGGGCGCGUAGGCGGCAAUUCAAGUCAUCUGUGAAAUCUCCGGGCUUAACUCGGAACGGUCAGAUGAUACUGCUUUGCUAGAGUGCGGAAGGGGCAAUCGGAAUUCUUGGUGUAGCGGUGAAAUGCGUAGAUAUCAAGAGGAGCACCUGAGGUGAAGACGGGUUGCUGGGCCGACACUGACGCUGAUAGCGCGAAAGCCAGGGGAGCAAACGGGG
rnacentral:rRNA from 1 species